UUCUUGUCUAGCUUAAAAUUUAAAGCGUUGAUUUGAAGCGUCAAAGUUACUUUUGUGGCGAGAAG
rnacentral:tRNA from 1 species